rnacentral:rRNA from 1 species
CCUACGGGAGGCAGCAGUGGGGAAUAUUGGGCAAUGGGCGCAAGCCUGACCCAGCAACGCCGCGUGAAGGAAGAAGGCUUUCGGGUUGUAAACUUCUUUUAUCAGGGACGAAGCAAGUGUGGGUACCUGAUGAAUAAGCUACGGCUAACUACGUGCCAGCAACCGAGGUAAUCCGUAGGUGGCAAGCGUUAUCCGGAUUUACUGGGUGUAAAGGGCGUGUAGGCGGGAGUGCAAGUCAGAUGUGAAAACUAUGGGCUCAACCCAUAGCCUGCAUUUGAAACUGUACUUCUGGAGUGCGGGAGAGGCAAUCGGAAUUCCGUGUGUAGCGGUGAAAUGCGUAGAUAUACGGAGGAACACCAGUGGCGAAGGCGAAUUGCUGGACAGUAACUGACGCUGAGGAGCGAAAGUGUGGGGAGCAAACAGGAUUAGAUACCCUAGUAGUC